GGGGCGGCAUGGCUCAGGAGGUAGAGUGGGUGGUCUAGGAAUCAGGAGGUUCCUGGUUCAAUUCCCGGCUGCUCCA